CUCUGUUGUAGAGAAUUUCACUCGAUCGCACUCCUGGUUCGGUCGCAGUAUAGUGUUUGACGCGCAGUCGAAGAAGGCCAGUCGAAGCGGAGCAUAAGAGCAAACGUCGGGUGGACAAUGAAUCGCGCGAUGUUCUCCAAUAUAGCGGUAUAAUGUGAAUAGUGAUAAAUCGACGUGAUAUGGUGCAUAAUCGGAUUGUAAACGCGCGCGGUAAUGUGGAUAAAAAGUAAAAAAGCUAAGAAAAAAGUGCAGUGACUCUACGUUUGAUUGGCAGUGCACGCAGAGCGGCCCUUCGUGUACAUACACAUGUAAUGAGAAACUGACUCGAAAGCAGGAAGGACAGGACAGGAAGAAAGAAAAUGGAGCAUCGGAAGCAAACGAUGAGCUCGACGGAAAUAGCGAAAGCUAACGAGGAGUUCGAUCUGUUUUGCAACGCGACCACAUUGAAAUCGAUUCUGGGACACUACAGGCAUCUCUGCGAGUUGCUCAGGAUCAGGCCGAACGUGAUCAAUCAAUUUUACCCAAAAUUGAAAGCGAAAUUGCGAUCGUGGAAGGCUCAAGCUCUCUGGAAAAAGUUCGAUCAGAGGGCCAAUUACAAAUGCUACAAUCGUGGCAAAGCGUGCCCGAACACGAGGGUGUUGAUCAUCGGAGGGGGGCCGUGCGGCCUUCGUUCGGCGAUAGAGGCGCAAUUGUUGGGAGCCAAGGUUGUCGUAGUAGAGAAACGGGAUCGUAUGUCCAGGAACAACGUCCUCCAUCUGUGGCCGUUCGUCAUCCACGACCUUCGCGCCCUGGGGGCGAAAAAAUUCUUCGGCAAAUUCUGCGCCGGCUCCAUCGAUCACAUAAGCAUUCGACAGCUUCAAUGCAUACUGCUCAAAGUCGCUUUGAUCCUUGGCGUCGAGUUCCACGAGAGCGUCAGUUUCGACGCUCUGAUAUCCCCGCCGGAGAACCAGGAAGAGGGCAAGGUCGGUUGGAGAGCAAAAACCACCCCUGCCGAUCAUCCGGUCUCUCAAUACGAGUUCGAUGUGUUGAUCGGCGCCGACGGGAAGAGAAACACGUUGGAAGGUUUUAAGCGGAAAGAGUUCAGGGGUAAAUUGGCGAUCGCGAUAACGGCCAACUUCAUAAAUAAACGGACCGAGGCGGAAGCCCGGGUGGAAGAAAUUAGCGGGGUCGCCUUCAUCUUUAAUCAAAAGUUUUUUAAAGAAUUGUACCAGGAGACGGGGAUAGAUCUGGAGAAUAUCGUGUAUUACAAAGACGACACUCACUAUUUCGUGAUGACGGCUAAGAAGCACAGCCUGAUCGACAAGGGUGUGAUUUUGCAGGAUCACGCGGACACGGCGAAACUACUCGCCAAGGAAAACGUGGAUCGGGAAGCGUUGAUGCUCUACGCCCGAGAGGCCGCCGAAUUCUCCACCGAGUAUCAAAUGAUCGGUAUGGAAUUCGCGGUGAACCAUUACGGCCAACCAGACGUGGCAAUGUUCGACUUCACCUCGAUGUACGCGGCGGAGAAUGCCAGUCGAAUUUUGGAACGUCGUGGCCAUAAAUUACUUAUGAUCCUGGUCGGCGAUAGCCUGCUCGAGCCGUUCUGGCCGACGGGAUCCGGCUGCGCGAGAGGAUUUCUAAGCUCGUUGGACGCUUGCUGGGCGAUCAAAGGGUGGGGCGCGAACGUGUCGCCGUUGGAAGUGAUCGCCGAGCGGGAGUCGAUUUACAGGCUGCUCGGCCAGACUACGCCUGAGAACUUAAACAGAGAUUACGCCGCGUACACGCUCGAUCCUCAUACCAGAUAUCCCAAUUUGAACGUGUCGUCGGUGACACCGAUACAAGUGCGAAGUCUACUCGACACGGAUGAUCCCGACAGCGUGAAGCAGCCCCCUGUCCAGUCUGAUAUCGAUAUCCCUAAAAAGCGACGUCGUCGGGAUUUGCGUGGAGAUUCGCAAGUGCAUCCGGACACGCUGCUUCGCUGGCUGCAAAAGCAGGUCGCCCUCUACGACUCGGUUCAGAUAAGGGACAUGGGCGCCUCGUUCAAAAAUGGUCUGGCUAUUUGUGCGAUAAUUCACAGAUAUCGUCCAAACCUAAUAGAUUUCCACAAUUUGAAGGCGGACGACGCGGUUACGAACAACCAAUUGGCCUUCGAUAUAUUGGAGAAAGAAUUGGGCAUACCUCCUAUAAUGACAGGGGAGGAAAUGGCCCAGUGCGACGUUCCCGAUAAACUUGCCAUGUUUUCUUACCUCACACAGAUAUACGAGGUUUUCCGCGGUGAAAUCCCGUACAUUAAACAUCCGAAAUUAGAACCUGAAAACGAAGAAAGGCCCGCACAUAGUAAACAAUUGACACCCGAUCAAAAAGUUCAGUUAAUUGACCGUAUCGUCAGGCAAGAUAGCGCAACGAGAACGAGACACUCACGAUCGCGUCAUAACGAAAAUUUAAACCCCGCGGAUAAGAAGGGGGACACGAUUAGCCGACGUUCUCGAAAGAGACGAAGCACGGAGAAGAUGGGCGCGACAGUGGAGGAAAGGCAGAAGAGACUCGCAGAAAUAGAGAAAAAUCGCGCAGAGCGUAUGAGAAGGCGGCAAUAUUUACGAAAUAUGGCGACGCAGCAAUUCUACAAAAGUAUGCAGAUGCUGCAAGCGAACGCAAAACGCGAGAAAGACGAGCCGUUCGAAGAUUAUUCGAUAUUCUUGUAUCGUCAAACUGCACCGGAUUUCAAGGAUAGGGUGAAAUACCUAGAGCAGAAAAUAUUAUAUCCAGAUAGAGAACCUAAGAUUCACGCUGGUCAUCAUAGAAACAGCAUAGACGAAGAGUUCUCCGGUAGAAUAAAGAGCAUCGAAGACAAGCUGAAAGGAUCUACACCGGUCGAGAAGAAACCCAGAGAUCUUCUACGUGCAAUCGGUAAAAUUGAGAAGACCGAUUGGAAUGUGAAGGAAAUCGAGAAGAAAAUCGAAGAGAAUAAAAUGGGUCGUUUGGUUCGACACGACAAAGUAGAACGAGUGCCGAAAUGGAGUCGAGAACAGAUGUGUAUAUGCUUCAUUCAGUUUUUAGCUCGACAAAUCAAGAUGGAGAAGAAGGGACGUGAUCAAAGGGAGACAGAUAGUAAGUACGCUGAUAUUGACAAUACCCUGAAGAAUAUUGACAGGAAGAUCAAAGAGGGUAAUGUGCUUGGGUACAAUAAAGUCUCGGCAAUGGCCGAACAAUUUUCAAAUAAAAGUCAGGACGCGGAGCCCAAGAUGCAGAAAUCGAAUGUCAAGCCCACGAUAACGUUACCUGCUCAAGGAGGUUCAGAAACGUGUCAUUUUUGUAACAAAAGAGUUUAUCUAAUGGAGAGACUUAGCGCCGAAGGGAAAUUUUUCCAUCGAGGAUGUUUCCGUUGCGAAUAUUGUUCUACCUCGUUAAGAAUAGGAAACCAUACGUUUGAUCGGGAUAAAAAUGGAGGACGAUUUUAUUGUACGCAACAUUUUGGUUUCUCAGGAACGUUGAAGACUCGCGUGGAAAAGAAGAAAAUUACGUUGAAUAAAGAAAAUAUACCCGCUGCAACGUCUGUAAAUCUGAAAACACCUGAAAAAGGAAAGAUAUCCCUAGAAGGUGUUGUUGGUCUUGAUUUACUUGAUCGUGGACAAACACCCGAGAGAAUAGAAUUCGAGAAUUUAGCAGGGAUAUCGGACGCUGAAGAACCUCAAAGUCAAAUGGACGAAGAUGAAUGGACGGAUAGGAAUUUCGGGGCUUCUACCGCAGAGAUGGGAUCCAGUGAUGACAUUUCGGAUAUGAGCGAUUCAGACGAUGACAACGAAGUGUACGAAGAGGCAAUAGAUCAACCGUUAACAACCGAAGGAACUCUUGAACUUGCGAAAAAUUGGACGCUACGAUAUUCUCAUCCCCACGCAGCAAUGGGACAAUCUGAUACAGGGAGCAACGAAUAUGAAGAUUCUAGCGAUGAGUAUACGAAUGAAGACGAUGAAAGUACAACUGCUACGGAAGAUGAAGACGACAUACGCGCCCGAGAACUUAGAAAGCAGGAAGUUUGGUUGAAGAAUCCCACACGUAGCUCCGAUACGGACAGCGGUUCAGAAACGGAGGUUGCCUCCGAUGAAGGUACGUCGGAAGAAAGCGAAGAAAACUCAGCUACGGAAAUAUCGACAGAUUCUGAAUUCGAGCACGAUGGCGCAACUCCUACGCAGCACGAGAUCCCAGAAAUCACGAUCAACGAUGCAUACGUGCGGAAAACUAGAGGAAAUUACGUUGAACCAAAGAAAGUUCAAGUGAAAAGUAAAGUGAUUUCCUCGAUCAAUGGUAACCUGAAGCAAGAUAAAGAACUGGACGCGAAAUGCCAAUCAAAAAUGGAUCACAAUAUAAUAAAUCCUUCUCAUCUUGAAAAAGAGAGCAAGCUGAAUUUAUUAGGAUUCAAUAAUAAUACGAACGCAGUCCCAUUGAUAAACCCACGCAAAGGGGAUUACUUAUUGAACCGUACCCACUCCACCGAGGGUAUAGCGUCCAAGCUGUCCUUGGAAUUGAAGAAGAAGUAUUUGCUUGGCGGCACAGCUUUCGGAGGCUCGGUUAUGAAAUCGGGAUCAGCCUCGAACGUCGACACUCAGUUGAGAAAUUUCACGGACGCUAUCUCUCAACACCAAAAACUUUUGAACCCGGCUCCAGAACCGAGCCCCACGAUGCAAGCAUUCCUGCAAGGAACGAGCAAAUUGCGAUCGAACAACGCUCAACUAUCCCCCAUCUCGCCCACGGCUAUAUUCUCAUCCGUGAAACCGUACACGGCGAAUCGAUCCUCCCACAAUUUGUUGAACAAUGACAAUCCUAUUUAUAAGUCGACAAUUUUGCCCGAAAUAUCGAAGACCCAGCUACCGGAUCUGGUCAAGGAAUCCAGUAUAUUAAAAUCGAAAACCACGCCUAACAUCGUGCGCGGCGAGUCCAAGGACGUGGAGAAUAAAGAAAUUGCGAAAGAGCAAGCGGUUCCUGGCCAAUUGCAAAAUAAUUUCGCAGCGAGCACGGACGAGAACAAUGGUUUCCGGCCACGAAGCCCUUUGCACGAAACCUCGAUCAUCGUGCCUCAAGUCGAUUGGAGCAAGAACACGGAGGAAAGGAAAGAGGCGGCUAGUAGCGGGGAUUCGGAGAUGGACAGCGAUUCUCUGUCCUCCGGGGAUGGCGAGGCGGAGGAGGAAGGGCAAGAUCGAUCGCCAGCUGUUGUUAAUUUGUCCCCACCCCGUUUACAAAUUCACAGUACGGAUGGGGAUCUUCUGUUGGACGAAGAAGCCGAGAGAUGUAACAAAGAUUUCCAGGUGGAUGACGGCCAGUCGUUCGAGCCCGAUUCCAUAGAGUGUUCGUUUCUACGGGAUAAAGGACAGUCGAACGAUAGGAUCGGUUCUGGGGUGAAUAAAACCUCGAUGGAGCUGGAGUUAGUGAAGAACGAAAUCGAGCAAUUGGAGUUGCAGGACGACGGUAGGAAGAGUAUUAGCAAUUGCAGUACACCUACGUCGAUAACCUCUGCCAUUUCGAAUAAACACGAUGAUUCCGAAGAGAACGACGUGACGACAGCGGCCCUUACCGAGACGGAAUUCUCAGAGUGGGCCCGUGACGGGGAAGUUUUGGUCUCGGAUGAUCUACGGGACGUUGAGUUCAAUAUCAAUCCGGAAUUCAUAACGACGAGGAGAAAAGCUGGAUUGUCGGAUGCUUCGAAGAUAGGCCGUAAACCAAUUACGAUAGCCAAAGAGGAAGAUUUAACGGAUAUGGACUUCUUCGAUUCUUCCAAGUUGGAUAAACAGUUGUUGUUGGACGUUCCUGUUAACGAUACCUCGAAACUCUUAGCCAAUGGCGAGAAUAUAGAUUUUAUGGACACGGAUAACGAGUCGUUGUUGGACGAUAGUUUGCAAGAUGCUUCUAAUAUGGUGAUGCUCAAAAAUAGGGGAUACGUGGAAUUUGUUAAUGUUAAAAGCGCUUCGACACCGGUCACAAGUUCGCAAGAUAAAUCGACCGCUGACGCUCCUAUUGCGAAAUUAGAGAAUGAUUCGGAGGAAGAAGGUUACUACGAUAAGAACGUGAUAGAAAUAAAUCCAAUUACCAUGGAUGAUGUUAUGAACAAAUUGAACGGGUCUGCGAAUAAGUCUGAGAGCGAUAGUUGCAAGACAAAUGCGGAAAUAAAAUCGAAUUCCGUUCAACAAGAUCAAUCUAUCGCGGAAGCGGUGAAUAAAGAGUUAUUUCAAUCGAUGGAAGAAGAUAGCUUGCUUAUCGUUGAACCCGCCGAGGACACCACCACCAGCGAGGUGGUCACCAUUCUUGCUAGCCCCGUGAAUCCACAAGUUUCAAUGAUCGCGGCUCAAACUGAAAAACAAUCUGAGCAGGAAACGAAAACGACGACCGAUUUGAACAAUCCUGAUUAUUUGGAAUACGUGAAGCGUCUCCAAUCCAGAAUCGCUGAAUUUAGCAAUGCCAAAGAUUCUAUAGAUGUGAGGAAAUCGAAAAGGAAGAAUUCAAAAAGUUCGCUGCAAUCUCGCACGGCCGAGAUGAUAGCAGAGGAAAUUAAGAAUCAAGAAACUACGGUAAGUAAUAGUUUCAAUUCGCCGGCUACGUCGAGAAAAUUGGAAGAAAUUACGAGGGAAAGAUUCAAGCAGAAAAACGUGAUACAAGAUUUAUUGAUGGAUAAAGUAGAAGCUCAUAAACAGAAAUCCGCCGAGAAAAAGGCAAGAAGAGCUGCUAGAGCCUCGUCUUUCAAUUCAACUUCUGCCUUAUCGCCAAUAAGACCAUCCGUUCCUGGUAGUUCGUUAGUUAAUAAAUUUGUACCUACAUCCAUAGUAACACCUGAAAAUAGUCCCUUGCAUAAUAUCGGCUCUGCUGAAAGUAAACAGCCCGUGGAAAUUAAGAAAUCUUACGAAAGCCAGCAAUUGCCUUGGAAAUCGGAGACUGAGAAGUUUAUAAAUGAGGAAAGUAAUAAUAAUAAUGAUAUUCGAUCUUGCGAAAAUAUCACAUUGAUUAAAACAGCUAAUGAAACGGAAAACAACUUUAGAACGCCAGUUGCACCCCCAAGAUUGAAGCAUGAGGAGGCAAAGAGGACGGCAGAGAAAGCGAGGCAAGAUGCGAGGGAAAGGGCUAGAUUGAAGAGCGAUGAAGAUCUGGGUCUCAGUCCGGAAGAUAAAAUCAAAGAGUUGAGAAUGAAAGUGGCGCGAAGGCAACUUUCAAUGGAAGAGAGGAAAACUAAUGAAGAAACACAGCCUGAUGAUCCUCGCAUAAGACUUUAUACUUAUGGAGCAAACAAGACUGAAUUAAAAUUGCAAACGAGCAAAAGUACGGACAAUAUGAAAGCUGUAGCCGAGGCGAUCAAUUUCAGUGGUUUAUCUACUGCCAGUGCGAAAUCAAUGGAUGAAUUAUUACACGCUGAUUCUCCCAAAUCAAACAGCUCAAUAAUAAAAAGGGAUAAGAAACAAAAAACGAAAGAUCCGGAAAGAAGAAAAAGUAUCAUUCAAGCUGUCUCAGAUUUCUUCUUUAAAAAGGAAUCUUCCCCUUCGCCGUCCAAUCAAAAAGACAAAUUAUCUAUGUUCCGUCUAACGUCAAAGACGAAAGGCAAAUUAUGUAAAUCGUAUUCGGAAGGGUCAGAUGUAAGCAACUCAUAAGUCAUUGAUACUAAUUUUUCCAGUAUUAGCUUUCUUAUGCCACUAUUUGUAUUCGCUAUUGUAUAUCGUGCAGCUUGAUAAAGUCUUAUCACCGAAAAUGAACGCAAGACCAAAAAGUGUUUGCGAAGGUAUGCUCGCAAGAAACUUUUUAAAUGAAAAUCCGCCGCCAAUUCCACCGCCACCUCUUAUUUAUACCAUUCCUACUACACAAAUCUCAGAUGAUAGUUUAUCGGAUGAUGACACAAAAACAACAGCAGUGUCGACGUCAUGCAUACAUAAAGCCACAAUAACAGAAGGUUCAUGUAAUAGUAUUUCACGUAAAACAAAAACUAC
rnacentral:misc_RNA from 1 species